rnacentral:rRNA from 1 species
ACAGGUGCUGCAUGGUUGUCGUCAGCUCGUGCCGUGAGGUGUUGGGUUAAGUCCCGCAACGAGCGCAACCCUUGUCGUUAGUUACACUCUCUAACGAGACUGCCCCUAAAAGGGAGGAAGGAGGGGAUGACGUCAAAUCAUCAUGUCUCUUACGUCCUGGGCUACACACACGCUACAAUGGCCAGUACAGACGGUUGCUAAGUCGCGAGGCGGAGCCAAUCCGACAAAGCUGGUCUCAGUUGGGAUUGCAGGCUGAAACUCGCCUGCAUGAACGUGGAGUUGCUAGUAACCGCAGGUCAGCAUACUGCGGUGAAUACGUUCCCGGGCCUUGUACACACCGCCCGUCACGUCAUGGAAGAUGGUAACA